rnacentral:rRNA from 1 species
CAUUAACUGAAUACAUAGGUUAAUGAAGCGAACCGGGGGAACUGAAACAUCUAAGUACCCCGAGGAGAAGAAAUCAACCGAGAUUCCGAUAGUAGCGGCGAGCGAAAUUGGAUUAGCCCUUAAGCUUUACAUGCGUCAGGUGAAGGUUCUGGAAAGGACCGCGAAACAGGGUGAUAGCCCCGUAGCCGACAGCGCAUGUUCAGUGAAAUCGAGUAGGGCGGGACACGUGUUAUCCUGUCUGAAUAUGGGGGGACCAUCCUCCAAGGCUAAAUACUCCUGACUGACCGAUAGUGAACCAGUACCGUGAGGGAAAGGCGAAA